CGUAUGGGGAUACCUAAAUUUCCCAUGGCAGACUGCUCAGUAACACAUGAUCAACUUCCCCUAUGGAGAGAGAUAACCUCGGGAAACUGAGGAUAAUAUUUCAUAGUUGAAUUGGCUUGGAAAAGUUUUUCAAUAAAAGGAAUAAGAAAAAUGGUUCUUAUUUGCCAUAGGAUAGGAUCGUGUUCGAUUAUGGUUGUUGGUGAGAUAAUGGCUCACCAAGCCGAUAAUCGAUAGGGGCCGUGAGAGCGGGAGCCCCGAGAUGGGUACUGAGACAACGACCCAGGCCUUACGAGGCGCAGCAGGCGCGAAACCUCCACAAUACACGAAAGUGUGAUGGGGUUACCCAAAGUGUUCAAUACUGAACUGUGGUAGGUGAGUAAUGUUCCCUACUAGAAAGGAGAGGGCAAGGCUGGUGCCAGCCGCCGCGGUAAAACCAGCUCUUCAAGUGGUCGGGAUAAUUAUUGGGCUUAAAGUGUCCGUAGCUGGUUUAGUAAGUUCCUGGUAAAAUCGGGUAGCUUAACUAUCUGUAUGCUAGGAAUACUGCUAUACUAGAGGGCGGGAGAGGUCUGAGGUACUACAAGGGUAGGGGUGAAAUCUUAUAAUCCUUGUAGGACCACCAGUGGCGAAGGCGUCAGACUGGAACGCGCCUGACAGUGAGGGACGAAAGCCAGGGGAGCGAACCGGAUUAGAUACCCGGGUAGUCCUGGCCGUAAACGAUGCAUACUAGGUGAUGGCACGGUCAUGAGCCGUGUCAGUGCCGUAGGGAAACCGUUAAGUGUGCCGCCUGGGAAGUACGGUCGCAAGGCUAAAACUUAA
rnacentral:rRNA from 1 species